CCGAAAGUUGCCGAGAAAACUCAGCGGAAAUUCGUACUUCCCACACUGUGCCCUGGGGGACCGGAGGAUCGGAUGGAGCGGCGGAGAGGGAGGACGGCGCGGCGGGGGGGCGGAGGGAGGAAGCCCGCGGCCAGUCCUGGCUCGGUUCAGCCCCGGCAGCGAGCAGGGGCGCAAAGUGGGAAAGAAGGAAUUGGAACCGGCUGUGGCUGCCUCCCAGCCACAUGGGUUACAGAGAAAGUUGCGCAUCGGGGAGGGGGAAGGGAACAGAAGUAAACUAAUCGUCGUCGUCCCCUUUUUUUCCUCUUCUGUUUAGAAACCUGCCAAAAGCAACAGUUACGAUUUACCAGGGAUUUAGGACUUUCUAUUGUGUUGAGCAAACAGCAAUCAGAGGACUAAGCUAGUUAUAGUACAUCAGAAUGAAUUUUCAUUCUUUCUCCUCACCGUCCUGCUCAGUAGGUUCCCGACAAAGCUGCCAAUGAGGAUGCAGUUGAAUAUGGCUGCAGCUCGAUGAGGGGCUCGUCAGAGUGAUCCCGAUGCUCUUCAGAAAGAAUUCCCAUUUUUAAAGAGUCUUCUUUCUCAACAGCACAAAAAUUUAGAGGGAAAAGAAGAUUGUGAAGAACAAUCCUCUCCUUCGUCCAGGUAUCACCAUGAUAACCGAUGACCCGGUUUGAAAGUUGCAAUCUUCUGGGAAGUCUGAAGUUACUUGGACAGUGGAUCCUGAGUUCUAUUCUAGACUCUUUUCUUUGAUUAAGAACUCUUACAUAUUACUCAUGUACCACGCUGGAUUUAGAGUAUUAAUUUCUACAGUCAUACACAAUAUAAUUUUUAUUUCUGUUACCUUAUAUAAUAUGAAUAGAAUAACAUGCCCUUGAGAGGGCUUGUACCUAGUCUUGUUCAAUUUGUCAUUGUAAAAAAACCUAUUUCAGAUUAGUGCUGGAUAUUUAGGUAUGUACAUCAGCAUUGUUCUAGCAGUGUUGUUUUAGCUCGCUCUUAUUUUUUUUUUCACCUCCCCGCCUCUGUUUUAUGUGAUGGGUAGUGUUUUUGCCCAAAAUUAGGAAAAUAAGCCUGUACCAAAAUUGACAUCCUCAAAGUAAUAAAACUUAAUAGAAACCACAUUUGUGAUGGACUUCUUGUUAACAAGAAUCUAUAGGAUCGCUGCCGACAUAUCAUGUUACAGAUAUCUCAUUCUUAAUCAGUGUAGGUUCAGAAACUUGGUUUCAGAGGUAGAGGAAGGGAAGAGGGGCAGAAGGAAGAACUACAACUUAAGGGUAGAAUCUUGUUGAUUUAUAUUUUUGUGGUAUUUUUAGGUUAUUUAUUGAGUUUUGUUACUGUAAAUGGCUUAUUUGAUUGCCCUUGUUAUUUCAUAAAUAAUUUUACAUUUCGGUGACUAGUUAUAGCUGACCUAAUCUUGAUUGUACAGGCCAUGUGAGAAAAGAGAGUAAACGCUAUUGCCACCAGGGAACUUGCUUAACAAAAACCAGUGCUGUCCAGUCUAAAAGUAUGGACUGGUCUUUAAAAAAAUCCUGAUUUAGCUGGAAUCUCAAAUGAAACAAUAUACUUGUGCCUGUGGUAUAACAUACAUGUACUUAGAGAAAAGUGCAGCAAACACAGAAUAUUUGACUUUUAAUUAUUUCUUUACCUCAGUGACUUCUCUGUUAAGAUGAAUAUUCAACUGUAUUUUUGGCCAGAUCUUCAGUUGGCAUUAUUUGUUAUAGCAUUACUGGCUUUUCUUGACACCAGUUAAAGUGAUGGUCCUUUAGCAGGCUACGUUUUCACUCGAUCCCUCCUGUAAACGUUUUUAAAUCUUCUAUAACCUAGAGAGAUUGAGUUGUGUAUGAGGCCAAAUUACCAUAAAAAUGAAAUGUAUUCAACAAAAUAAGUGCUUUUUUCCCGGUGGUAAUAUCUCCAUGUAAUAAGAAAAGUGCAGAAAGGAUAGUUGCAACUUUUCAGUUAUAGAAUCAGUUUUGUUCAUGCUGUAGAAUAAAAGUGUUUCUGAAGCAAGUCAUUCAUUAAGAACUACUGGGGACUUAAGUCUGUAUAAUAACCAUGAUAAAAGGGGCUUAGCAUUCAGGAUGAAUUAUAGUGAAAGCAUAUAUUGCAUAUAUAUACACACAGUAUAUCAUGAUAAAAUUGUUUAAGCACAUUAUUAAAGUUUCUAAUAAUAUAUUCAAACUUUGUGAGGUAAAAAACCUUUUCUGUUUACUUGCAUAACUUCAAAAUCAUAAGGAGAGAGAACUUCCUUCUCUCUUCUUCAGUGUAAUCUAUGUCAAGAACAGCUUUGUGUUUUGGUGUUCUCCUUUCCACCUUUCCUACUUGAGACAACUUUGCUUGAAAAAUCUAUGUUUAGAUUAGAUAUUAGGAAAAAAUUCUUUACUGUGAGGGUGGUGAGACACUGGAACAAGUUGUCCAGAAAGGUUGUGAACUCCCCAUCCCUGGAAAUCUUCAUGACCAGGCUGGAUUGGGCUCUAGAUAACCUGAUCUAGUGAAAAGUGUUGCUGCCCACGGUAGAGGGGUUGGAUCUAGAUGAUCCCUAAGGUUCCUUCCAACCCCUACAAUUCUAUAAUUCUAUAAAAUAAGUAAAACCUUCCUUCAUAGAAUGCUGAUUUUUAUUUUUAUACUUGAAAUAUCAUGUGAAGUAUAAUUCAUGUAUUGAAGAAGUGUUAUACCUUUGGGAGAUGAUUCUUCUCUUUCUCUGCUAAUAACAAAUAAUGCAAUUUUAUAUUAUGACAUAUUGUGACUACAAUAGGUUUAGAAAUUGAAAGUUAAAAUUAGCAAACAAAUAUAAUUUCUCAAAGGAAUAAUUGGUUUUAUGGCUCAGGGAAUAAAUAUCUGAAGUGGAAGGAAUGUUAAGAACUCCCAACAUUUGCCACUUGACGAUUAAGGCUGUAACCUUUCAUGUUUUAUGAGAGAAGCUUUCAAACUUCUCCAUCUCAAUGAAAUAUUUCAGAGUUGUCAAGUCCACUAGUGGAAUAAACAUGAAGUGGGAUGCUUGGACUACAGUACAGUGGUCCUUCAGCUUUAGGCAUCUCAAGUAGAAAAAGUCAGUGGCAGUGGGGUCAGUUUGUCUUCUCUGACUUAGUAAAAGUGAGAGUCUCUGGCCUUGCUUCUAUUUUAAAGGCAUGCUUCUGGCAUCAGAAAAAUGCCCGGGUAGGCUAGAGAAUAAAAUAUAUGUUAUCCCACUGUUAUGUUUGUAUUUAAAAUACCUGUAUUUUAAAAAGUGGAAUAAAAAUAGGCAGACUUUAGUUAAUUGACAAACAUGGCAAUAAUGACCAAGUUUCUGGAAAAGAAAAAAGGCAAGAAUUAAGAUUGUAAAUGUGUGCAAACAACUUUAGGUCAUAAUUUUGAUUGAAAUACGUUAUAAAAAACUUUCCUUGGAUGAGGAAAUAUGGGAAAUAUGUGACUGAAAACUUCUGCUCUUGGAUAAUCUGACUUAAGGGCUCCUCACACAUGACAGUGAUGCCAUUAUAUAGGAAGAGAACAGUUUCUAAGGCCCAUCCAAGGCAAAGUGUACAGUGUUGUGAAGUAAGGUUGGUGCUCUACUCUCAACUGUCUGUCAUAUGGAGACAGAAUUUAUUUUGUCAAAAUACUGAGAUAACAAUAACAAACUAAAAACAUUUACAGAAGAAGAUGUAGAAUAGUCUAUCCUACCAUAUCCAUGAAGGUAUACUUUUGUUUACUAACCUUUAUCUUUUUUUUUUCUUCUUUUUUUUCUUUUUCUUAUUUUUCUUCUUUUUUUUUUUAACAUGAUUUCGAGUUAUCCAUAAAAAAGUCACAUAGUCUUAUUUGUUACACCCUUCUUAAUUAUUUCCUUUAAUUUAGAUAAAAUAUAUAUUUUGUGGAAAUUAAACUUGUUUCCAUGGUAAAGGAAGAUUAAUAAGCUCUUUUUGUAUCACCACUUACAGUUCACUAUGAAACUGCCCUUGUGCAGCCUCAUCAGCUAUUUCUGUUGGCACACAACAGAGCUGGAGUUUUGCCUAGAGUAGCACAAUCUUUUUAUUUGCUGGAGAAACAGCUAGUCACCACCUCAGCUAUAUGAUACUCUGCCUACUGCUAUGCAGGGACAUAGUUGCUCACUGUUUGUGCUAGUGCCCACAUCUCUAAAGCUCUGUGAUGUCCACACUUUAUCAUUUUUUUCCUAACAGUUCUCUGUAUUCCUGUUUUUUAUAUAUUUCUGUUGGUUUCUUUCAGCCUCUUACUCUCAGUCAGUGCCUGACUUGACUACUUGCUUACAGUUGUCAUGCCAACUACCAAUCCUGGAAACUCAAGUAGAGAGAGGAUUUAUCCUUUUUUCUCCCCUUUUUUUGUGAGAAGUACUCACUUCACAGUUACCAAGCUGCAUGAACUGAAUGUAUGAAUUGCAUUGGAAAACAAUAUGUUAAAAGGGAAUUGCUUUAGAAAGGAAGAAACAUGGAAAUUUCAUCUCAGAUAAUAUUGCUCUGCGGAGAUUCUUAUAGCCAUUUUUCAGUGAAGAGAAGAAAAGAUUCAUCAUGGAAUGACCUAUGGCAUUUUAUAUUUACAGUAUAGUCUUCAACACGUGCAGAUGCUGGACCAAGGGGGUCUCAGUGCCCUGAGCUGGAGGACCAUGGCUGCGAGAAUUAUCAACUCCCAGCCAACCCUGAAAUUGUGCAGGAUUGGCUGCUUCAGCUGGAUCCCUACAAAUCUAUGGGGCCUGAUGGAAUUCAUCUCAGAAUCCUCAAAGAGCUAACUGAUGUCAUUGCAAAACCUUUCUCGACGAUUUUGAGUGGUCUUGGUAAUCUGGAGAGAUCCCAGCUGACUGGAAGCUGAUGAAUGUUGUCCCAGUUUUCAAGAAGGGCAAGAAGGAGGACCCUGGAAACU